UUUUCUUGAUUAAAGUAACUCUUGGCUUUAUUAAUUUAAAUUUCCGUAUCUGAUGCAUAAAAGUACAGGUUUAGUCUAUGUAACAACAUUUGUCAUGGAUGUUUUGAAUUAGGGUAAAUAGAUGUGCCAGCUACCGCGGUUAUACAUUACUAUUAAAUUACUAACUUGUUUUUUCGUGUUGGUAAUAAAUUUAUUUAUUUGAACUCUAAGUGAAAUUAUUUUUAUUGCGCAUUUUAUAACAUGGAAUCAAAUUCAAAUUUAAAACUGGGAUUAGAUACCCCAUUAUUUUGAAACUAAGAAAUCAAGUAGUACUAUGAUAAUCAAACUUAAUUGAGACGGCGGUAAAAUCUUUAUUAGAGGAGGUUGUCCUGUAAUCGAUAACCCUCGUUAUUAGUCUUUCACCUAAAUUAUGUAUAUCGCCGUUGAAAUUCGAUUUAAAAUUGAAUUGAUGUAUUUGUUUUAAAGUCAACAGGUCAAGAUACAAAUAAUGGUAGAGGUAGAGAUGACCUACAAUUAAAAUGAAUUUAAAUUAAAGGAUUUAAUUGUAAUUUUUUCUAUAUAAUAUAACAAUAUGGCUGAUUUUGGUUUUAUGCACAUAUCGCCCGUCACCCUCUCAGAGGUAAGUCGUAACAAAGUAGAUUUUUCGGAAGAAGAGUCUAGUUU
rnacentral:ncRNA from 1 species